AUUGAACGCUGGCGGCAGGCCUAACACAUGCAAGUCGAACGAGUGGCGGACGUGUGAGUAAUGUCUGGGCAACUGCCUGAUGGAGGGGGAUCACUACUGGGAACGGUAGCUACUAACGCCUACCAUCAGAUGUGCCCAGAUGGGAUUAGCUAGUUGUGGGGGUAACGGCUCACCAAGGCGACGAUCCCUAGCUGGUCUGAGAGGAUGAACAGCCAAACUGGAACUGAGACACGGUCCAGACUCCUACGGGAGGCAGCAGUGGGGAAUAUUGCACAAUGGGCGCAAGCCUGAUGCAGCCAUGCCGCGUGUAUGAAGAAGGCCUUCGGGUUGUAAAGUACUUUCAGCGGGGAGGCGUUACCCGCAGAAGAAGCACCGGCUAACUCCGUGCCAGCAGCCGCGGUAAUUC
rnacentral:rRNA from 1 species